UAGCUUGUUGUGAACUAUUGGCUUCGAGGGACUCAUAAUCCCUUGGUCGCAGGUUCGAGUCCUGCUGGGCCCACCA
rnacentral:tRNA from 1 species